UAUACUAUUCUUAAGUCUGUAUUCGUGAUGUUCUCGAUUAGACGUUCGAGUUCAUAUUUAUACUGUGUUUGGUUGUAUCGAGUCACAGUACACAGCGAAGUCGCGACCGUUACAACAAUCUGUGCGUUCACCUCACUAGUGUUUAUCGUGACGGAAAAUAUAAAUAAAUAAACGACAAUGGCUGCUUACAAAAUCGUUCUAGCAUUUACAAUCUUAAUUGCUGUUGUAAAGGCUCAAAGGCCAUUCUACGCCGGCCUGAGUCCGAUUGGCUAUCCGGCUAUAGAAGGAGGCUCGAUAUCAAAUAGAUUUGGAGAAGACGCACCGUACCCUAUUGACGCCAGAGGAGAUGGAAAUCUAAUAAACCGAAUUAACCAAAUGCCGAUAGAUAAUCAACCUUUUUGGUUCCUCAACUGGAGGCAGUAUGAAGACUUAAGGCGCCACCCACAAACCUGGCCGCAAAGACCCAACAAUUUCAUCGGACUUUAAAUUUAGAGAAAGAAGAAUUAAUUAACGCAUUUUGUGCAGUGAAAGUUAUCAAAAUUUAGAUUUCGAAUUUCAAAAGACACUGCCAAUAAUCGAAUGCAAGUCAAAAUGGCAACGGAUUUUUAACUUGUUUCGAUUUAUGACUUCCCGCCUAUAAUUUAAUUAUUGUUCGAUUCUCAAAUUGUUUAAGAAAAAGAACUUAUGUUUUUUUAAUUGAUUUAAAUUAUUUGGACUGUUUUUAUUAUUGUGACUGCAAUUAGUAUUAGACUUUGAAAUUCAUAUGUUAAUAUGACUGUGUUAUUUAUUGAAUUAAGUCAUUUUAUUGCAUUUAGUUAUUUUUAAAUAUAUUUUACUUUUAAGUUAA